rnacentral:rRNA from 1 species
ACGAACGCUGGCGGCGUGCUUAAUGCAUGCAAGUCGCACGAGGCCCCAUCGACGGGUAACCGUCGCGGGGUACUAGUGGCGAACGGGUGAGUAACACGUGAGGAACCUGCCCCGGAGUCCGGGAUAGCCCAGGGAAACCUGGAUUAAUACCGGAUGCCCUCGAUCGGUCGCAUGUCUGGUCGAGGAAAGGUCCGCCGUUCCGGGAUGGCCUCGCGGCCUAUCAGCUUGUUGGUGAGGUAACGGCUCACCAAGGCAACGACGGGUAGCUGGUCUGAGAGGACAAUCAGCCACACUGGGACUGAGACACGGCCCAGACUCCUACGGGAGGCAGCAGCAGGGAAUAUUGCACAAUGGGCGAAAGCCUGAUGCAGCGACGCCGCGUGAGGGAUGAAGGCCUCCGGGUCGUAAACCUCUUUCAGGAGGGAAGAAGCGCAAGUGACGGUACCUCCAGAAGAAGCCCCGGCCAACUACGU